UACGGAAGGCAGCAGUGGGGAAUAUUGCACAAUGGGCGAAAGCCUGAUGCAGCUAUGCCGCGUGUAUGAAGAAGGCCUUAGGGUUGUAAAGUACUUUCAUCGGGGAGGAAAAAACAAAACUAAUAAUUUUAUUUCUUGACGUUACCCGAAAAAGAAGCACCGGCUAACUCCGUGCCAGCAGCCGCGGUAAUACGGAGGGUGCUAGCGUUAAUCAGAAUUACUGGGCGUAAAGAGCACGUAGGUGGUUUUUUAAGUCAGAUGUGAAAUCCCUGGGCUUAACCUGGAACUGCAUUUUGAAACUGAAAUACUAGAGUAUCGUAGAGGGAGGUAGAAUUCUAGGUGUAGCGGUGAAAUGCGUAGAUAUCUGGAGGAAUACCUGUGGCGAAAGCGGCCUCCUAAACGAAUACUGACACUGAGGUGCGAAAGCGUUGGGGAGCAAACAGGGAUUUAGAUACC
rnacentral:rRNA from 1 species